rnacentral:lncRNA from 1 species
CGGGUGGUCAUGGCUGAUUUGAGCCUGUUGUUAUUGUUGGCAAAUUAACAAUACACUGUUAAUUGCAUGUGGCUGAAAGUAAAAAUUAAUAAGGAAACAAGUGGGCCCUGCUGAGCUGCUCGCGUCGGGGCUGUGGUUCCCACGCUGGGGCUGCGGCUCUCGCGCCGGGACUGUGGUUCCCACGCCGGGGCUGUGGCUCUCGCGCCGGGGCUGUGGUUCUCGCGCCGGGGCUGUGGCUCUCACGCGCUCCUCCUCGGCUUCCGAACCGGAACACAGCUGCAGCCUCUAUAGACUCCUUCCGUGGCGCUUCAGUGCUGAGCCCUAGCAGACUCCUCCUGGCCAGACUUUCCUGGCUCCUCUGAUACCUCAUUGCCACCGGGCCUCCACCCGGGGCUUUGGAUUCAUCUCUGCUGGUUUAGGGAGAACCUCUGACCUCUGCUAUCUCUCCCCUCCGUGAAUGAUCCGGUUCCUCAUCCCCCACCUGUGAGUUCUGACUCCUCGGCCGCCUUCAGCAAGAAUCUCCUGCCCUUAACUUCUCAUCUCAGUCUUUUGCCAUCCCCCGAGGCCCUUGGCUAUCAGCCCCCACUAGUCCUUGUGGCAGGGGCUAUGAACCCCCUCCUCCUUGGCUAGAGACUCCCGCUUGUCCUCGUGGUCUUCGGCGUUGAGCUCAAUCUCUCCCUGUUGUGGUCAUCCUGACGGCUGCUGCGAUAGUCUUGAAUAGAGUCUUCCUCACUGUUUUAAGUGUCAGGAUCGUGUUCUAUGUACUCCCACCCCCGGCUUCUCCUGCCCCCUCAGCUGGCCCGGCAUUUUCCCUGGGAGCCUUCAUCACAGGCCCUCAACAGACAGGAACGGUGCCCGCCCACACUGGGGAGUGCAGUGUGCUCACUCAGUCACUAUGCUAACCUCUUCCACAGACAACCCAGAAAUCAUGUUUCACCAGCGAUCUGGGCAUCCCAUGGCCCAAUCAAGUUGACAUAUAAAAUUAACCAUCACACCAUUCACCCCUGCUUGAGGAUGAGGCACCUGAAGGCAGAAAGAAAGGUGGGUGAAGAAGGACAUUGAGUAAAGGUAGGAAGACAGCCAGAGAGUGAGUCAAUAGCUCUCUGGUGGUACCUGUGAGGCAAGCACUGCUGUUCCCCAUUUUACAGAUGCUCAAGGUCACACAGUCUGUAGAGAGUAGAUCUGGUCAUCUCUGUUAGUUCUAAGGUGCAGCCCUGGGAUGCCUGCUCUCACACCCUUGUCUG